rnacentral:rRNA from 1 species
GCGCAGCAGGCGAGAAUCCUCCUCAAUGCACUCACGUGCGAAGGGGUUACCUCGAGUGCCGCCUGAAGAAGGCGGCUUUUCCAUGGUCUAAAAGCCUAGGGAAUAAGAGGGGGCAAGACUGGUGUCAGCCGCCGCGGUAACACCGGCCCCUCGAGUGGUGGGGAUGAUUAUUUGGCCUAAAGCGUCCGUAGCCGGCCGGGUAAGUCUCCCGUUAAAUCCAGCGUCUCAAGCGUUGGACUGCGGGAGAUACUGUCUGGGCUAGAGAGUGGGAGAGGUGUACGGUAUUCUGGGGGUAGGGCGAAAUCCUUUGAUCCCCGGAGGACCACCAGUGGCGAAGGCUGUACACCAGAACACGUCUGACGGUCAGGGACGAAAGCUGGGGUAGCGAACCGGAUUAGAUACCCCCGUAGU